rnacentral:lncRNA from 1 species
UAUAGGGAACAGAGUAGAUGAGCUUUCAUUUGAUAUGCGACAACACCAUGUUCUAGAAAGUUUGAUUUUUGCACUUAAUUACCCUAUCCAACUAAUUUUUGGAGGUCGGGAAUUUGAUAUUUCAAAUGUACACAUCAUUACCUUUCAUUUGAUAUACAACAACCUUACCUUAAAAGAACAUUUAUUUUUUGCACUCAAUGACCCCAUCCAACCCAUUUUUGGGAGACCUCAAUUUGAAAUUUGAAAUGUACGCUUUAUGUUCUUUCAUUUGAUAUGCG